UGGGGGAUAUUGCACAAUGGGCGAAAGCCUGAUGCAGCGACGCCGCGUGGGGGAUGAAGGCCUUCGGGUUGUAAACUUCUUUUGCCCUGAACAAGGCGCACCAUGGGGUGUGUUGAGUGUAGGGGUUGAUUAGCGCCGGCUAACUACGUGCCAGCAGCCGCGGUAAUACGUAGGGCGCGAGCGUUGUCCGGAAUUAUUGGGCGUAAAGGGCUUGUAGGUGGCUGGUUGCGUCUGUCGUGAAAGCUCAUGGCUUAACUGUGGGUUUGCGGUGGGUACGGGCUGGCUUGAGUGCAGUAGGGGAGGCUGGAAUUCCUGGUGUAGCGGUGGAAUGCGCAGAUAUCAGGAGGAAUACCGGUGGCGAAGGCGGGUCUCUGGGCUGUUACUGACACUGAGGAGCGAAAGCAUGGGGAGCGAACAGG
rnacentral:rRNA from 1 species